rnacentral:rRNA from 1 species
AGUCGUACGGGAGUUUUUAACUCUAGUGGCGGACGGGUGAGUAACACGUAAGAAUUUGCCUUUAGGAGGGGGACAACAGCUGGAAACGGCUGCUAAUACCCCAUAUGCUUUCGAGUGAAAUGGAUUUCCGCCUAAAGAGAAGCUUGCGGCUGAUUAGCUUGUUGGUGAGGUAAUGGCUCACCAAGGCGACGAUCAGUAUCUGGUUUGAGAGGACGAUCAGACACACUGGAACUGAGACACGGUCCAGACUCCUACGGGAGGCAGCAGUGGGGAACUUUCCGCAAUGGGCGCAAGCCUGACGGAGCAAUACCGCGUGAGGGAUGAAGGCCUAUGGGUUGUAAACCUCUUUUUUCAGGGAGGAACAAAAUGACGUGUACCUGAAGAAUAAGCAUCGGCUAACUCCGUGCCAGCAGCCGCGGUAAGACGGGGGAUGCAAGUGUUAUCCGGAAUCACUGGGCGUAAAGCGUCUGUAGGUGGUUACAUAAGUCAACUGUUAAAUCUUGAGGCUUAACCUCAAAAUCGCAGUCGAAACUGUUUGACUAGAGUAUAGUAGGGGUAAAGGGAAUUUCCAGUGGAGCGGUGAAAUGCGUAGAUAUUGGAAAGAACACCGAUGGCGAAGGCACUUUACUGGGCUAUUACUAACACUGAGAGACGAAAGCUAGGGUAGCAAAUGGGAUUAGAUACCCCAGUAGUCCUAGCCGUAAACAAUGGA